GAUUCUGGAUGACUUGGAGGCAAAUCCUGGUAAAUAUGAAGGCAAAAACUUGUCAGAGUUAGCUGACGAGGAAGAUUUUGAUGAAGAAAAUAGCACUGAGUACUCCAAAGCUUAUUAUAAGAAAGCGUUGCUUACCAAGAUGAUUACAAAAGUCAGUGUAAGAGAGCUUGAUUUGGAAGCUGCACUUGCUGAGCGUCAGCACCAUAAUGAACUGAGAAUAGAAGCACUAGAACGAGGAGAGGUGUACAAAAUUUCCAAGCUGAGACGAAACAUUGAGAUGGAUGAAUACGAUUUUAUCCAUUGGCGGCGGUCCCUUGAGGAGAGAGAGGCUCUAUUAAGAGAUAUAAGCUGUCGCCGAGCCCUUGGGCUCCCACUGGAAGAGCCUGGUAGGUAUGUGGAUCCAAGUGCUAUCAGCAAGGACCAGUAUGAUCCUGAAAGUCCCUUGUACAGAUAUGACUACUGGGGCGAACCAAAGAACUCAGAGAAGAGCAAGCAGGAGCGAAUGACAGAUGCUCACAAUAAAUCUAUUGUUGGCAAAGGUACCGUUUGGUAUGAGUUGUCAUAUGAAGAUGCCAUCAAGGAGCAGAUGCAGAUGGAGGCCCAAGGAUUUGUGCGGGAGUUGUAUGAUGAAGAUUCUGACAGCGACCAAGUGAAUACAGACGAUGAAGACGAUGAGGAAGACUUUGAUUACAGCAUCCUAGGCGACCCAAGUGAAAAUACAAUCAACCAACCUUAUGUCAAUGGGACUGAAUCUUCUCAGCUAUCAGAUGAAGGUAUGUUUGAAGAUUAAGUGACAAAUAAGAAACUGAUUAGCAGCAAUACUAUAUUGAUAGUUUGUACAGCUAGGUACAUUAAACGGAUGCAAUUUUCGCAGAGUUUUUCCUAACGGGGGAUUGAUUUUUUUCAUCUUUAGAAAUGUAUUUGUUCUGUGCCUUAGUAGAAAAGAAACAAUUUUGUAUUCACUUACAACCAGUUGGUUUU
rnacentral:misc_RNA from 1 species